CUGAGACCCAAGGCCGACAGACUUCUUCCCACUGCACAGUGGCGUUGGGCCGGAUUUCACUGCAAAUAUGAAAAGCACAGGAAAGGUUUUAUUUCUCCAAGAAGGCAGAUGACUUUGGUUCAGUAUGAAGAGCUUCCUGCAAGAGUUAUACAAGGAGAACUCCUGGUUUGGGCUUUCUGACCUUUUUGGAUGGCAAAUAUUGGGUUGCCUGAAAACCAGGACAGUCUUUUUCAGGGAGAAUGGAAGGGAGACUAAGCAACAGAAGGCUCAGGAGAUGGCUAUCUGUGGCUCUCCACCUUACUUCAGCCAGUUCAACAGAGACCAAAGUAUGUGAAACGCAUAAUCUCUAUGUAAGUAUUGUUUUCAAAUUGACUUCAUGAUACAAAGUUUGAA